rnacentral:rRNA from 1 species
UACCAGCACCCCGAGUGGUCGGGACGAUUAUUGGGCCUAAAGCAUCCGUAGCCGGCCUUACAAGUCCUCCGUUAAAUCCAGCUGCUUAACAGAUGGGCUGCGGAGGAUACUAUAAGACUAGGAGGCAGGAGAGGCAAGCGGUACUCAGUGGGUAGGGGUAAAAUCCGUUGAUCCACUGAAGACCACCAGUGGCGAAGGCGGCUUGCCAGAACGCGCUCGACGGUGAGGGAUGAAAGCUGGGGGAGCAAACCGG